rnacentral:lncRNA from 1 species
ACUGCUCUCAUCACCUAUAUACUCUUCUCUCUGCCCGUCUCUGCUUCCCCCCCCUUCCCCCCCCCCUUUUCUCCCGGCCGACGGAGCUGAAGGGGCGGGGGUUCCUUCCUUGGAGUGUUUCUAGAGCUCGGAGGCUGCUGGUAGGGGGUGCUUGUAGACAUGGAAGAAGGCCUCACCUUCUCCAUGGCUGACAACCGAGAAGGCUGGUCUGACUUGGAAGAAGCUGUGUGGCCAACAGCCAAUUGGCUGUAUCACAUGGGCACCACUUUCAGAUAAAAACAUAGACCUGAAUGGCAUCAUCCAGUAUCCAAGGAAACCAUUGUGUCUGUAACCAGCUAAUGAGCUGCAACAGAGCCUGGCCUUCAUUUUCAGCAAAUUAAGUUCAUCCCUCAUAGGAAUUGUGGUCUGGCUGUGGCACCGCUCCUAGGUAUGGGUGGGAUUUGUUUCUUCUAGCAGUUGUAGGUUAGCCACAUGGGUACGUGCUGUCGCACCACACAACAAAAUUUUCUCUAUAAUAACCAGUCUAAGUAGGCUUUUACCCCACAAAAGUAGAUCCCAUUUAAUUUACUUUGUGUUUAUAGCACUCCCUCUCAAACCGCACCAUUGGCACAGACUAAUAUUUAUACAACUUUUUAUUUUAAACUAUUUAUUUGGAGUUGAGACUUCAGUAGCACUCCCUGUCAGAUUCAUUGAACAAGCUUAAAUUCAGGAUACUGAAAAUGUAAAUUGGGAAGAGGGAUGUAUGUUCUUGGGAUUCUUUUCUCCCGUGCAUGGACACCCAAACAACUCUCACUGUAGUAAAGGGAGGUUACACAUGUGUUGAUAACAUUUGUAUUACUGCUGGUAGGAAAUUGAACAUUGAUGGGUGGUUUUAAAAGCCUGCUUUUGCCUAUUGUGUUUCCACAUUUCUUUGCCAAUAUAGUUGGUCAAAUUAGUUAUGCAAAAUGCAUCUAAAAACUUCUAAUCCAAAAGUGUCAAUGUUGUUAAAGAUUUCUUUUCAUACACAAAGAAAUAUUACAUUGCUCCAUUAUUUUAAUGGAAGUCGUUAGUCAAAUACGCUUUUGCCACAGAAAGAAAAGGGAAAAAAUUCUUAAUUUUGUAUCUGACCUCUGCUUUGGGGCCUUACUUUAAGUUACAUUUUUCUUAAAUAAAGCUUUUCUGUUUUUUAAAGUGAA